UCCAUAGCUCAAUUGGUAGAGCAUGAGACUAUUAAUCUCAGGGUUGUGGGUUCAAGCCCCAUGUUGCGCAA
rnacentral:tRNA from 1 species